GAUGAACGCUGGCGGCGUGCCUAAUACAUGCAAGUCGAGCGAACAGACGAGGAGCUUGCUCCUCUGACGUUAGCGGCGGACGGGUGAGUAACACGUGGAUAACCUACCUAUAAGGCUGGGAUAACUUCGGGAAACCGGAGCUAAUACCGGAUAAUAUAUUGAACCGCAUGGUUCAAUAGUGAAAGACGGUUUUGCUGUCACUUAUAGCUGGAUCCGCGCCGCAUUAGCUAGUUGGUAGGGUAACGGCUUACCAAGGCGACGAUGCGUAGCCGACCUGAGAGGGUGGUCGGCCACACUGGAGCUGGGACACCGUCCAGACUCCUACGGGAGGCAGCAGUAGGGAAUCUUCCGCAAUGGGCGAAAGCCUGACGGAGCAACGCCGCGUGAGUGAUGAAGGUCUUCGGAUCGUAAAGCUCUGUUAUUAGGGAAGAACAAAUGUGUAAGUAACUAUGCACGUCUUGACGGUACCUAAUCAGAAAGCCACGGCUAACUACGUG
rnacentral:rRNA from 1 species